rnacentral:ncRNA from 1 species
AAAAGGAAGACCUUGGAAGGCAGAAAAGAAAACCCAGGAGUUAAAAAAGAAAAUUCAUGAAAACGUUCUAAGGGUCACUGACUGGCCUGUAUUGCUCAGAGUGAAAUUACUUUUUGAUCCUUUCAUGCCGGCUCUUGUUAUCAUACUAAACCAGAAUUCAGCAAGUGUUCGAUCGUUCACGCAAGUAACAGGGAACGAGAUGUGGGUUCGAAUCGUCGUUAGACAGGUUAGUUCUAGUU